UACGUAGGGGCCUAGCGUUGUCCGGAUUUAUUGGGCGUAAAGAGCUCGUAGGCGGUUCGGUAAGUCAGGUGUGAAAUCUCCACGCUCAACGUGGAGGCGCCACCUGAAACUGCCGUGACUAGAGUUCGGUAGGGGAGACUGGAAUUCCUGGUGUAGCGGUGAAAUGCGCAGAUAUCAGGAGGAACACCGGUGGCGAAGGCGGGUCUCUGGGCCGAAACUGACGCUGAGGAGCGAAAGCGUGGGGAGCAAACAGG
rnacentral:rRNA from 1 species